rnacentral:rRNA from 1 species
UUGAUCCUGGCUCAGGAUGAACGCUGGCGGCGUGCCUAAUACAUGCAAGUCGAGCGAACGGAUGAGAAGCUUGCUUCUCUGAUGUUAGCGGCGGACGGGUGAGUAACACGUGGAUAACCUACCUAUAAGACUGGGAUAACUUCGGGAAACCGGAGCUAAUACCGGAUAAUAUUUUGAACCGCAUGGU